rnacentral:ncRNA from 1 species
AUUGAUUGAACAGAUCCUUUGCCGUAUGUAUUUUCACCUAAAAGUAUCGCUCUUUUGUGAUCUUUUAAAGCACCUGCAACUAUUUCUGAUGCAGAAGCAGAACCAUUAUUUAUUAAAAUGAUAAGCGGCUUUCCUUUUACUUUAUCUCCUUUUUUUGCAAAAAAACGUCUAUUUUCGCUAGCCUUUCUGCCUUUUGUUGAAACAAUUUCUCCGUCAUUUAAAAAGAAAUCAGUAACAUUUAUUGCUUGAGUUAAUAAUCCUCCGGGAUUGUUUCUUA